AUUGAUAAGAGGGGAUCAAGAAGGGAUAGGGUCGAAUCGGCCGGAUUAUACACAAGUGUUGCAUGGCUGUCGUCAGCUCGUGUCGUGAGAUGUUGGGUUAAGUCCCGCAACGAGCGCAACCCUCAUCCUUAGUUGCCAUCAGGUAAUGCUGAGUACUUUAAGGAAACUGCCAGUGAUAAGCUGGAGGAAGGUGGGGAUGAUGUCAAGUCAUCAUGGCCUUUAUGGAGUGGGCUACACACGUGCUACAAUGGUGUCUACAAUGGGCUGCAAGGUGCGCAAGCCUAAGCUAAUCCCUAAAAGACAUCUCAGUUCGGAUUGUACUCUGCAACUCGAGUACAUGAAGUUGGAAUCGCUAGUAAUCGUGGAUCAGCAUGCCACGGUGAAUAC
rnacentral:rRNA from 1 species